UACAGAGGUCUCAAGCGUUGUUCGGAUUCAUUGGGCGUAAAGGGUGCGUAGGCGGCGCGGUAAGUCGGGUGUGAAAUCUCGGGGCUUAACUCCGAAACUGCAUUUGAUACUGCGGUGCUUGAGGACUGGAGAGGAGACUGGAAUUCACGGUGUAGCAGUGAAAUGCGUAGAUAUCGUGAGGAAGACCAGUGGCGAAGGCGGGUCUCUGGACAGUUCCUGACACUGAGGCACGAAGGCCAGGGGAGCAAACGGG
rnacentral:rRNA from 1 species